AGAGGCGCUGAAUACCGGGAUUCUCCUGCUAAAAACGGGAGGGUUGGCAAGUAUGAAGUAUGGUCAUGACCUGGACUUCACAGGAUACAGCAUACAUGGUACCUAGGCCACAACAGGGAGGAUGUUGAGCAGAAACUGUAAUGGCCAGCAGAGAAGGCCUUGCUGGCCCUGACGGCACACCACUGGUUAAACCACUGAUUGUACAGGCUAGCCGGUGUCAAGGCCCGGGUGCACUCCAGUGUGUAUUCAUCUGUGCGCUGUGCAGAGCGCAACUCCAAGCAUGUAUCUGCGGGCGCCAAUCUGCAAUCAUUCGCUGAUGAGCUCCCUGGGCUUCUUAAGCCAGAGCAAACCUGUGUUCCGGGCCAGAACGUAGCGACCUGUUCCAGUACACAGCAUUCCUCCGUUGCCUCAUCACAAGCUGCGUGUCUCGUCUCCCCGUAUUCCCUCUGGUUCCCCUGGCUGCCUCUUUGGAUCACGACCUCCCACCUGGACACAGAUUUUGACGCCUCGCUCUUGCCUCAGACCUCAUGCCUGUCUCUGGAUCUCCAAGCUUGCCUUGCCCACUUGGACUUCCGCCUCUGGCUCAACACUCCUGGUAACACUCAGCUAAUCGCCACACAUAGUCACACCAUACACAUUUUGGAUUCGUUUUCACACUUCAUAAUAUUGUAUAGAAAUAAAUAGAGCUAA